GAUGAAGAACGUAGCGAAAUGCGAUAAGUAAUGCGAAUUGCAGAAUUUCCGUGAGUCAUCGAAUCUUUGAACGCACAUUGCGCCCGCCAGUAUUCUGCGGGCAUGCCUGUCUGAGCGUCAUUUCAACCCUCAUGCCCCUAGGGCGUGGUGUUGGGGAUCGGCCAAAGCCCGCGAGGGACGGCCGGCCCCUAAAUCUAGUGGCGGACCCGUCGUGGCCUCCUCUGCGAAGUAGUGAUAUUCCGCAUCGGAGAGCGACGAGCCCCUGCCGUUAAACCCCCAACUUUCCAAGGUUGACCUCAGAUCAGGUAGGAAUACCCGCUGAACUUAAGCAUAUCAAUAAGCGGAGGA
rnacentral:misc_RNA from 1 species